AAGAUGCACCUUUCCAUGGAAAAGCUAGAAGUUAAUAUACCUUGCACUGCUGCUUUCUGCAACAAAGGCAUCUGUUGGGACUUCUCAGUGGCAAGUGUUACUUUGCAGUGAAGGGCACUGAAGACAUAACUCAAGGCGCAAAAACACCUGAAGUCGGCACCUAAGAAAACAAGUAAUCAUUCCCCGCCUUUUUUCUGGUGGAAACAGCAUAUUUACUGCAAAAGGUAUGCUCAAAAAAGCAAUGGGAGGGGAAGUGGCUCCUUCUGACAGCGUAAUUUGGUUAGCAUUUCAUUUUGGUGGCAUGGGAGAUGCCUCAUUUCAGAUAUAGGCUGCAAUGCUUAUCACACAGCGUAUGUAUAUUUGAAUUUAAUGAAAUGUUUUUACUGUGACCAGAGAUUCUCCUUCGAAUAUUUACCCCAUGUAAAUACUUUUCCACUUGUACAAAAAAGCCACCAUUAAAAAUCGCUAACCAGCUCCACAGUAUCUCAGAAGUUGAAGUAAA